AAGUCUGACGGAGCAACGCCGCGUGAGUGAUGAAGGUUUUCGGAUCGUAAAACUCUGUUGUUAGGGAAGAACAAGUGCGAGAGUAACUGCUCGCACCUUGACGGUACCUAACCAGAAAGCCACGGCUAACUACGUGCCAGCAGCCGCGGUAAUACGUAGGUGGCAAGCGUUGUCCGGAAUUAUUGGGCGUAAAGCGCGCGCAGGCGGUUUCUUAAGUCUGAUGUGAAAGCCCCCGGCUCAACCGGGGAGGGUCAUUGGAAACUGGGAAACUUGAGUGCAGAAGAGGAGAGUGGAAUUCCACGUGUAGCGGUGAAAUGCGUAGAGAUGUGGAGGAACACCAGUGGCGAAGGCGACUCUCUGGUCUGUAACUGACGCUGAGGCGCGAAAGCGUGGGGAGCGAACAGGAUUAGAUACCCUGGUAGUCCACGCCGUAAACGAUGAGUGCUAAGUGUUAGAGGGUUUCCGCCCUUUAGUGCUGCAGCUAACGCAUUAAGCACUCCGCCUGGGGAGUACGGUCGCAAGACUGAAACUCAAAGGAAUUGACGGGGGCCCGCACAAGCGGUGGAGCAUGUGGUUUAAUUCGAAGCAACGCGAAGAACCUUACCAGGUCUUGACAUCCUUUGCCACUUCUAGAGAUAGAAGGUUCCCCUUCGGGGGACAAAGUGACAGGUGGUGCAUGGUUGUCGUCAGCUCGUGUCGUGAGAUGUUGGGUUAAGUCCCGCAACGAGCGCAACCCUUGAUCUUAGUUGCCAGCAUUCAGUUGGGCACUCUAAGGUGACUGCCGGUGACAAACCGGAGGA
rnacentral:rRNA from 1 species